GCUGCCGUAGCUCAGUGGUAGAGCACUCCCUUGGUAAGGGAGAGGUCGUGAGUUCAAUCCUCACCGGCAGCACCA
rnacentral:tRNA from 5 species